rnacentral:rRNA from 1 species
CACAGGUGCUGCACGGCUGUCGUCAGCUCGUGUCGUGAGAUGUUGGGUUAAGUCCGUAACGAGCGCAACCCUUGUCCUUAGUUACCAGCACGUUAUGGUGGGCACUCUAAGGAGACUGCCGGUGACAAACCGGAGGAAGGUGGGGGAGUGACGUCAAGUCAUCAUGGCCCUUACGGCCUGGGCUACACACGUGCUACAAUGGUCGGUACAAAGGGUUGCCAAGCCGCGAGGUGGAGCUAAUCCCAUAAAACCGAUCGUAGUCCGGAUCGCAGUCUGCAACUCGACUGCGUGAAGUCGGAAUCGCUAGUAAUCGUGAAUCAGAAUGUCACGGUGAAUACGUUCCCGGGCCUU